GAUAAGUAUAUUACUUUAAUGAAGAAAAAGAAUUAAUGUAAAUUAAUCAAAACGUGUUAUUAUCGUUACUGUUACGAGUAUUAUAUAUUAAUAAAUAUUUAGCACGGUAAUAGUCUGUUACAGGCAAGCAUUUAUAAUUUUAGGUGAAAACUAUGUUAUCUAUUUCAUUAUAUCUUACUCUGUUACAGAUGUACCUUGAAUAAAGCUAAUCGAAUAAUAUUGUUUCAAAAUUAACAUUUUUCAUUUGCUACAUAACAUUACAAAGAGUCGUACUUAUCCUGUUGCAGAUGAAAAACCUGUAUAUAAAUAAUAAUAUAGUUUUAUAAGGAAUAGUAAUGAUGAUCAUAAACAAAGGAAUGUAUAUGAGAGAUAAAUCGAAAGAAAGACAGCAUGGAUUACAAAAUUAUAUUUGAGCAAAAAUUUGCUUUUCAACAUGAAUUACGAAAAAAAGAUAAGUAUAUUAUUUUAAUUAAGAAAAUGAAUUAAUGUAAUUUAAUCAAAACGUGUUAUUAUAAUUACCGUUACAAGUAUUAUAUAUGUUUUUUAUAUGUUUUUACUAAUAAUGCAGGAAGGAGAAGAAAAACUCUGUUACAGUUUAUUUAUCAUUUUUUGAGUAUAAUUUAAUACAUAUUUAGUACGGUAAUAGUCUGUUACAGGCAAGCAUUUAUAACUUUAGGUGAAAACAAUGUUAUCUAUUUCAUUAUAUCUUACUGUGUUACAGAUGUACCUUGAACAAAACUAAUUGAAUAACACUUUAAAUAAAUAAAAGUGGAAAAAGCUUAGAUGAAUUUGAUGGAAAUUGAAGGCUACGAAAAAAAUACAUAAAAAUAUAUUAAGAAAACACUUAAGUAAAAUGGAGAUAAAUUGAAAGAGAGACAUAAGGAAUUACAAUAAUAUACUUAGGUAACAAAUUGUAUUUAAACGUUUACCACCACUUAAAGAUGUACGUUGAAAAAAACUAAUUGAAUAACACUUUAAAUGAAUAAAAGUGGAAAAAGCUUAGAUGACUUUGAUGGAAAUAAAAAGCUAGGAUACAAAUACAUAAAAAUAUAUUAAGAAAACAGGUAAGUAAAAUGGAGAUAAAUCGAUAGAGAGACAUUAGGAAUCACAAUAAUAUACUCCAUUAACAAAUUGCAUUUGAACAUUUACCAACACAUAAAGAUGAAAUACCUGAACAUUAAGAGUACUAUAGUCUUAUAGCGAAUGGUAAUGAUGAUCACAUACAAAGAUAUGUAUAUAACAGAUAAAUCGAAAGAAA
rnacentral:lncRNA from 1 species